UUGGAUGGCGCCACCAGACUCAGG
rnacentral:piRNA from 1 species